AUAACGUAAGGAAUCUCCGUGACUGCAAUUGAUGGACAUCUUGGGAAGUUUGGAGGGCUUGGACGGUGGAAAGACGUCUGACUCGUGACUUUGUUCAAUUGUCGCAUAUGGCAACGUCGGCAAGUUCGAUUGUCAUUAGGGUUAAGAUCCCACUCACUCGCUGACUUAGGGUUUGUGGGGGUUGUCCCCAGUGAUGGAGAUCGACUGAUCAUACAUUCAUGCAUGGUCACAAUUAUAGACAAUUACAGACAUCGCCUACCACUUCUAGGGAGAGCCACCUAAACCUUAUCAGCUUCUUUUUCUUUUUCUCUGUCUUCCUAAUGAGAUCAAAUGAGAUCUUACCCAAAAAUCAAAAGAGAUUGAAGGAGAUUUGAACCUCUGGCAUGCACUUAUACAAAAAGCUAAAACACAUUCCAUCGUUUAUAGCUUUUUAUAAAAAUGUUAGUCUUACCACAUUUUAAAAUUAUAUUUGUGUCAUUUUUUCAAUAGAGAUUAGACUCAUAUGUAUUGGUAAGUUAUAUUUCUAAUGUGGUAUGAAAAAAUGUGAUAGUGUAACAUCACUCAACAUUUUAAGUUUUGAAGAAGUUUAAGAUAAUUUGUUAAUUGUUUAAUUCUAACCCUAUUUUGAGGACAUUUAAGAGGUUUAAGGCAUUAUGCAUGUUUGUAAUGUAAUCGGUUAUGGUUCAAAAUAUUGAGAUUUUCUAUGGUUGAUUCCAGACUUCUUGUUCUUUGAACACUCACAUUGAUUAAUCUUCUAUUUGUCACGCUGUGUCAAUUUUACAUUCUGAUUUAAGAGAUUUUUCGAUCUAGAACAUUGUCAUAUGUGAUACUACUCCAUUCAAAUUGUAACACGUGUACUUGUUUUUUUAAUUAUUAAAAUACCUUAGAAGUGGACCGUGUGAACCUUAUUAUUUACUCAUAUUAACAUGUGGAAUAACACAUCAACUCCCAAGUAUAUAUUCCAUAAACGCAUAAAAUGUAAAUUAUAUGUAAAUUUAAAUAGUUCUGCAUCUAUUAUGUUCUAUAAAAAAGAAUAUGCUGAAAAUUAACACAAGUGAAAUAUAUAAGGGAUGAUAUAUAUGGAAGUGGAACUAACCCACACAGAAAUACAAUAAAUAAUUACCCAAGUUGACUUUAGGAUAAAUAUUCUUAUCAGUUACAUUUUGGCUUUUGCAUGUUCAACUUGUCCUUCUUAUCUUAAUUAAUAUAAAACGCCAGCCAUUCCCACAUGUUUUCUCAUGCCCAUUGCCAUCAUCGCCCACCCUCUCUCUCCUCCUGUUUUUUUUUCUCAAGCAGUGCUGUGUAGAUCCAUUGAAUACUUCAUAAGAAGCAAAGGCAUGGCGCACAAGUGUAAUUUUAUGACACAACUACUUAUCUUUCUAUGUUUUACAUAUGUCCUCUCAUCAAUUACUGCAGCUCCUACGACGAGAAGCCGGAAGAUAAGUAAGGAAGACCUACCGAGUCAGAAUUUGUUGGAUGAAGGUGUCCUUGAUUUGGGAGAAGGAUUUGUGGAGGGGCGGAUGGAUCUGGAAACCAAUGAUUAUUCAGAGGUAGGAGCAAAUCCGGUGCAUGAUCCAAAACCCCCAGGAAGAAUUUGAGCCUUACGGUGGGUUUUGGUUUUGAACUUUUGAUCUGGUUGGGGUUUUCUUCGGUUGUAUGUCCUCCAUGUCCAUACAUGUAAUAAUUUAACAUACAAGAAUUAUUUUUUUGGGUGAUAAGAACAACGUGCUUGUUGAAUACAAUCUUUCUGGUUUUUGGUUGUUGUAAUCUUCUUCUAAUUAUUUUAUUAAUUCUCCUUUAUUAUUUGUUGCUA